rnacentral:misc_RNA from 1 species
UAAGAUACUUGGUAUUUAUCAGGUAUUAGUUGUUUCCUUCAUUGAACUUAAGAAAACAUAGCAACCUAGAUUAAGUUAGCAAAUUUUCCAAUUGUAAUAUUGUUAUGAACACCCUUUGGAGCCUGGUUGAUUUUAUAUUUUAAGUAGGAGCUUCUAGUCAUACUUACCACAAUAUUCAAAGUUAAAUCUCCUGUAUUGAUGAGGUUUUUGUCAAUUUGAGAAAAAAAAAAAAAAUGGAAAUCUGGUGAACUCUAAAAAUUGAAUAAAUAAUACUGGAUCUUCACCUACGUUCUUCAACAAGUAAAGCUUGGGAGGUCUCACGCCCACCUCUUUGUUUUUCCUGCAAUCCAAUUCUGAAUCUUGUUAGCCAAGACACUAGUAAUGUACCAUACACAUUCACUGCUACUACCCCCAAGGAACCCACCGGCCCAACCAACCUCUGGAUCAUCAUUGCUAAAUAUGGCUAAAACUAUGGGAGUUUUCUGCAUAUGCAGUUCCCAUGCAAGAAGUGGCUUGCCUCAGUAGUAUGCACAGUGCCUCAAAUUUGUUA